rnacentral:misc_RNA from 1 species
CUGUGACGUGUUAUCUAGCCUGCCAGCGGCGGCAUGGUCCGUCGUUGGCCAAAGUCCUUGAUAACCUCCUCUCUCCGGAGCGGGGGCUCGGGGUAAAAGAACCCACGGCGCCUAAGGCGUCAAGGAACACUAUGCCUAACGCGGGGACGCGGCUGGCGUGCUAGCCAUCCCUCGUGUUGCAAUGCUAUUUAAUCCACACGACUCUCGGCAACGGAUAUCUCGGCUCUCGCAUCGAUGAARAACGUAGCGAAAUGCGAUACCUGGUGUGAAUUGCAAAAUCCCGCGAACCAUCGAGUCUUUGAACGCAAGUUGCGCCCAAGGCCACCUGGCUGAGGGCACGCCUGCCUGGGCGUCACGCCAAACACGCUCCCAAUCCCUCGUAGGGAUUGGGAUGCGGCUUGUGGCCCCCCGUCUCGCAAGGGGUGGUGGGCCAAAGAUGCGGCUGCCGGCGUAUCGUGUCGGACACAGCGCGUGGUGGGCGACCUCGCUUUACUUACCGCAGUGCAUCCGGCCCGUAGCCGACAUGAUGGCCUUGAAGGACCCUAUAAACGGAGCGCAUGACGAUUCGACC